rnacentral:rRNA from 1 species
UGGGGGAUAUUGCGCAAUGGGGGGAACCCUGACGCAGCCAUGCCGCGUGAAUGAAGAAGGCCUUCGGGUUGUAAAGUUCUUUCGGUAUUGAGGAAGGUUGAUGUGUUAAUAGCACAUCAAAUUGACGUUAAAUACAGAAGAAGCACCGGCUAACUCCGUGCCAGCAGCCACGGUAAUACGGAGGGUGCGAGCGUUAAUCGGAAUAACUGGGCGUAAAGGGCACGCAGGCGGUUAUUUAAGUGAGGUGUGAAAGCCCCGGGCUUAACCUGGGAAUUGCAUUUCAGACUGGGUAACUAGAGUACUUUAGGGAGGGGUAGAAUUCCACGUGUAGCGGUGAAAUGCGUAGAGAUGUGGAGGAAUACCGAAGGCGAAGGCAGCCCCUUGGGAAUGUACUGACGCUCAUGUGCGAAAGCGUGGGGAGCAAACAGGAUUAGAUACCCUGGUAGUCCACGCUGUAAACGCUGUCGAUUUGGGGGUUGGGGUUUAACUCUGGCGCCCGUAGCUAACGUGAUAAAUCGACCGCCUGGGGAGUACGGCCGCAAGGUUA